CUAAAAAUGGGGUAUCUAGUUUUAAAAAACAUCAGGUUGAGAGAAGCACUUUUUUCCCACAUGAACAAAAAUUUAACUCCAAGAAUACCACUGGUUGUUAAAGAUAAGUACAGCUUCCACCCCCAUCAAAAAAAAAGCUUCUUUUAGCAGCCGGAUACCAUUACUGAAAUAUUCUUGUCUACUGCAUUGAAAGUCUAAUGGAUUAAAGUUCUACCUCAGCAUAACCAAGGCUUGACGUGUCCAGAAACUCAGUACUCUGACUCUCCACCUUGCAUUUAUUUUAACAAAAGUUUCCAUCAAAUCCAAGAAAGUAUAGACAGAAAAUCAAGAAAAAUAAAUGCUGUUGUUCAAUUUUAUACUGGGGUAAAUGAACCACCAUCUUUGCUGUAAAGAUUGUACCAACUAUAUCAUCAGCCCUGUCUAUGCAGAAGAGGAAAGAAUAUGUAAUUAUAUUCAGAAGCAAACCAGAAAACAAUGGCUUCUGCUCUUUUGCUUUUUUUACUAAUGUAUGCCCACUUUAGACAGACAUCAGUUUAUUCUCUAAAUGAAU